UGAGUAACCUGCCCUUAACUCUGGGAUAAGCCUGAAAAACUGGGUCUAAUACCGGAUAUGACUCCUCAUCGCAUGGUGGGGGGUGGAAAGCUUUUUUGUGGUUUUGGAUGGACUCGCGGCCUAUCAGCUUGUUGGUGAGGUAACGGCUCACCAAGGCGACGAUCAGUAGCUGGUCUGAGAGGAUGAUCAGCCUCACUGGGACUGAGACACGGCCCAGACUCCUAGGGAGG
rnacentral:rRNA from 1 species